rnacentral:rRNA from 1 species
AGACGGGUGAGUAAUACAUAGGUAAUCUACCUUCGAGAUUGGGAUAACCCUGCGAAAGUGGGGCUAAUACCGGAUAAGACCACACGGCUCAAGUCGCGUGGUAGAAGGUGUGCUUGUUUUUUAAAUGAGCUAUCACUUGAGGAUGAGCCUAUGGCCUAUCAGCUUGUUGGUGAGGUAAGAGCUCACCAAGGCUAUGACGGGUAGCUGGUCUGAGAGGACGAACAGUCACACUGGGACUGAGACACGGCCCAGACUCCUACGGGAGGCAGCAGUGGGGAAUAUUGGGCAAUGGGCGAAAGCCUGACCCAGCGACGCCGCGUGGGCGAUGAAGGCCUUCGGGUUGUAAAGCCCUGUCAUGUGGAAAGAACAGUCCUGUGGUGAAUAUCCACGGGAUUUGACGGUACCACAGGAGGAAGCACCGGCUAAC